rnacentral:rRNA from 1 species
GAUGAACGCUGGCGGCGUGCUUAACACAUGCAAGUCGAACGAAGCAUUUGCGACAGAUUUUUUCGGAAUGAAGUUGCUUAUGACUGAGUGGCGGACGGGUGAGUAACGCGUGGGUAACCUGCCUUGUACUGGGGGAUAGCAGCUGGAAACGGCUGGUAAUACCGCAUAAGCGCACAAUGUUGCAUGACAUGGUGUGAAAAACUCCGGUGGUAUACGAUGGACCCGCGUCUGAUUAGCUAGUUGGUGAGAUAACAGCCCACCAAGGCGACGAUCAGUAGCCGACCUGAGAGGAUGACCGGCCACAUUGGGACUGAGACACGGCCCAGACUCCUACGGGAGGCAGCAGUGGGGAAUAUUGCACAAUGGAGGAAACUCUGAUGCAGCGACGCCGCGUGAGUGAAGAAGUAAUUCGUUAUGUAAAGCUCUAUCAGCAGGGAAGAUAGUGACGGUACCUGACUAAGAAGCUCCGGCUAAAUACGUG